UGGGGAAUUUUGGACAAUGGGCGAAAGCCUGAUCCAGCCAUGCCGCGUGCAGGAUGAAGGCCUUCGGGUUGUAAACUGCUUUUGUACGGAACGAAAAGACUCUGGUUAAUACCUGGGGUCCAUGACGGUACCGUAAGAAUAAGCACCGGCUAACUACGUGCCAGCAGCCGCGGUAAUACGUAGGGUGCAAGCGUUAAUCGGAAUUACUGGGCGUAAAGCGUGCGCAGGCGGUUAUAUAAGACAGAUGUGAAAUCCCCGGGCUCAGCCUGGGAACUGCAUUUGUGACUGUAUAGCUAGAGUACGGCAGAGGGGGAUGGAAUUCCGCGUGUAGCAGUGAAAUGCGUAGAUAUGCGGAGGAACACCGAUGGCGAAGGCAAUCCCCUGGGCCUGUACUGACGCUCAUGCACGAAAAGCGUGGGGAGCAAACAGGAUUAGAUACCCCUGGUAGUCCACGCCCUAAAACGAUGUCAACUGGGUUGUUGGGUCUCCACUGACUCAGUAACGAAGCUAAACGCGUGAAGUUGACCGCCUGGGGAGUACGGCCGCAAGGUUGAAACUUAAAGGAAUUGACGGGGUCAUAGCUGUUUCCU
rnacentral:rRNA from 1 species